rnacentral:rRNA from 1 species
GACGAACGCUGGCGGCGUGCCUAAUACAUGCAAGUCGAGCGAAUCACUGGGAGCUUGCUCCCGGUGGUUAGCGGCGGACGGGUGAGUAACACGUUGGCAACCUGCCUGUAAGACUGGGAUAACACCGGGAAACCGGUGCUAAUACCGGAUAAUCCUUUUCCUCUCAUGAGGGAAGGCUGAAAGUCGGUUUCGGCUGACACUUACAGAUGGGCCCGCGGCGCAUUAGCCAGUUGGAGAGGUAACGGCUCACCAAGGCGACGAUGCGUAGCCGACCUGAGAGGGUGAUCGGCCACACUGGGACUGAGACACGGCCCAGACUCCUACGGGAGGCAGCAGUAGGGAAUCUUCCACAAUGGACGAAAGUCUGAUGGAGCAACGCCGCGUGAGCGAUGAAGGCCUUCGGGUCGUAAAGCUCUGUUGUUAGGGAAGAACAAGUACCGGAGUAACUGCCGGUACCUUGACGGUACCUAACCAGAAAGCCACGGCUAACUACGUGCCAGCAGCCGCGGUAAAAC